rnacentral:lncRNA from 1 species
UUUUUUUUUUUUUUUUUUUUUUUUUUUUUAUUUCUUGGGCCGCUCCCGCGGAAUAUGGAGGUUCCCAGGCUAGGGGUCGAGUCGGAGCUGUAGCCACUGGCCUACGCCAGAGCCACAGCAACAUGGGAUCCGAGCCGCGUCUGCAACCUACACCGCAGCUCACGGCAACGCCGGAUUGUUAACCCACUGAGCAAGGGCAGGGAUCGAACCCGCAACCUCAUGGUUCCUAGUCGGAUUCGUUAACCACUGAGCCAUGACGGGAACUCCAGUGUGUGUAUUUUUUUAACUUAAAUCAUCAACAUUAAAAUUUUUGUGGAAUGUCUUUCAAAUACAUAAGUAAAAAUAAAAUUUUUGGUUAUAAUUAUUGUUUGGAAACCACCCUUCACUUAAGGUGUAGUUUAGAAGUAUAUCUUUCUGGAGAAAUAUUUCAGUUGAAGGUCAUGAUAUAAUUUUCAGUUGAUGGAGGUGAUACAGUUUUGAUAUUCAGUCUGAAUGGUGAAAGCCGGUGUAUAGUUGCCGUGAAUUUUUAUCUCAAGUUUAUUUUGCUAUGUAGACAUGUGUCUAAGAAAAAAAAAGAUGCUGCCUAAACCAUCAUUUGAGUUUGAAUGUGCUUCUGUUUUUGGUAGAGGUAUAAAUGUUAUUUCUGGCUGUGUCCUUCAUACUUAGCUCUUCUUACAACAAAUGGAAAGGCCUUAAUUGUACCUAAGGGAAUAGUUAAUCCACAGUGGACAUAUGGUGGACAAAAGCUGAGUCUAGUAAAUGAAAUAAAAGUAUAAAUGGUAAACAUGUGAAUGCUUAUAAAGUCUGGCAGCUAUGAAAGAUAAAGUCUUGUUUGAGAUUAUUAGACAACUGUGUGCAGCAUAAUAAUAACUCUUUGCUUGGCACAUUCAUGUUGUAUUUAUGUAAAUUUGAAAGACAUACUGUGAACUUAUGUAUAAGCAUAUUUGUCUUUUUUUUUGUUCAUUAAGUUUUGUGAUAUGACUUGGAUGUCAACAAUAGAGGCUGAUGAUCUCACAUUUUUGGAAAGUUACUGCUCUCUUGAUUGAGGGCAGUUAAUUAGCAUUAACCCAGAACAGCUCUUGGGCUUUAUGGAUUUGAGCAUUACAUGUGGUUGCACUGCUCCAGCAAAAGGUUAAGUAUUAAUGGAAAAUGGUCACAGCCCUUUUACUUAAAGAAAACAUGUUACUUGUAAGUUUUCUUUUGAUUUUACUUUUAUAGUUACAUUGAAUGUCUUCAUUCAUUUAGCCAUCCAUAAAGCAAAUAUUGUUGCACAUGCAGUGGAUAAUAAGUCUUUUUAAGACUUCUUGUGUGGCAUGUCACAGAUCAUUAACUGCAAGUAACCACCUGACUUGAGGGAAGCCUGGAAGCAUCAUUAUAGUGAAAUAAGCUUUUAUUUAGGUAUCACUGCAGCACAUUGAUUUAUUGAAAUGUCACCAAUUGCUACUGUGAAAAUACAAUCUCAUUAUCAUUCAGGGAAUGUAACCACUGUAUACUGUAAAAGAGAUAAAUUGCUAAUAAUGGAAAAAAGAGUAUUAUCAUGGUCUGUAUUUUUCUAAUAUUUUAAAAGAAUUAAUUAGGUGAUUAAUUAGGCUAAAUUAGGUGAUUCCUUUAGGAUGCUUUCCAAUCUGUGUGAUAUAUAUAUAUGUUAAAUUAAAAGCAUAUUCUGAGUUCUCUCUAAUUUGAAAUACCUUAAAGUUAAGCAGCAUAGAGAGACAACAGCAAGCUUUAAUGUAAUUAGUUAACACAGUUCAGCCAUGAAGUAAUAUGUUCUUUCUGUGAGCACAUGGCUGCUUCCUAGGCAUAUAUAUCAUUAAUCCAGCCUUUAGGAACCUCGUUGUGGAAGUAAGAUUAACAUAAGGGACACAAAGUACACAGGAGAACAAUAUGCAGUUUAGCACUGCCGUGUCAGCAGGAGGGAAAGGACUAGGAAGAAUGUGGAACUCACACUGAGUUUUUUGCAAAACAAGACUCGUAGGGUGUAGACUAGUAGACUAUUUAGUAAGGUUUAGAUACAUGAAUGGGGGGACUGAAUUUCAGGCAAAAUGUAGCAUUUAAGAUGAAGUAUAUUUGAGAAAAGUUUUCAGAAAUCUGGAAUCCUUCUUAAAUGUUUGAUUCAUUAUGGUCUAUGCCAGGUAUUUAACCAUUUUUGAAAGCAACAUAAGCUGUUGUGUUCAGUUAGAUUUUAUAUGGGCUUUAUUAUUUAAAUUAUAAGUAAAAAUUAGAUAAUGGCCCUUGGGCACUUCGGUGCUUUUUUUUCCUCCCAGUAGUGCUUAGGUAUAUAGCGCUGUUCCUUUUGGACCAGUGCUGAGUUGUUAAAAUACGAUGGUAACAUGAUGCCCCCUUUUCUCAAGCGUCUGUUAUGUGGUGGGCAUCAUGCUGAAUGAUCUGCCUGUGUAAGACUGAGGUCCUUGAGUAUCCUCAGUUAAAUAGCUUGUAGGAGAUGGAGUCAGAUUUGCACCCAGCUGUUUCCCUCCAAAGAGCCUCCACUUCUUUCCGUCUUGUUAUAGGUAGGUCUUGAGAAAAUUCAACGGUAUCUCUAUUUGGAAUGUAAUGUUGGCUUUUUUAUGAUUAAAAAAAAUCUAAGAACUUAUUUUAGAGUUCUUGAUAUAUGAGUUCUACUUACAUAUUUUUGUGUUUGUUUCUAUGCUAUGAGGAUCUAAAUAACGAAAAAAUAUUAGAGCCUGUGUUAGUUAGCCAAGGCUGCUAUAACAGAAUACCUCAAACUGGAUUGUUUAAACAGCAGAAAUUUAUUUUCUCACAAUUCUAGAAGCUAGAAGUCUGAGAUCAAGGUGUCUGCAGGGUUGGUGUGUUGAUAGCUGUCUUCUCCCUUUGUCUUCACGUGGUCUUUCCUUCGUGCAUGUCUGUGUUUGAAUCUCCUCUUAUAAGGACACCAGUCAUACUGGAUUAGGGCCCAUCCAUAUGACCUCGAUUUUACCUUAAUUACUUCUUUAAAGGCCCUGUCUUCAAGUACAGUCAUAUUCCGAGGGACUGGCGGUCAGAACUUCAGGAUACAAAUUUGAGUGGGGGCAGGGCCGACACAGUUCAGCCCAAAGCAGAGCCAUUAUGGUUUAAUGUUAGAAGUAAAUCUCAAAGAAUCAUAGAAGUGAAGCUAGAAUAAUCUAGAAAUCUUUUGAUUUUAUUAUUUACUAAUGAGGAAACCAAAAUAAGAGUUCUUUUGAAAAUAUAAAAAUCAGUGGGAAUUUAACUUGUAGUCUACCUUUAAAUAUUUAGUAUAUAAAAAUGUGGAUUAUUGUGUGUGAUUAGUCAGAUUAUUUGAGUAACUUUUUGGUUAUUUUUUGUUAUGCAAGUUAUGAAAGAAUGCUUCUAAAAGUAAAUGGUGUCCUCUUCCUUUUUGUCCUAUUCCAGCUUCUAAAAUUAUAAUGGAAGCCAAAGGAAGGGAAAGUGAGUUGAUUUAUAGAAAUAGACUGUCACACAAGCCUUUUAGAACCAUAUAGCAUAUGUUUGAGAUACUGUAGGUUGUUUCAGAUCACUGUGAUAAAAUGAAUAUUGUAGUCAAGCAAAUCACACAAAUUUUUUGGUUUCCUAGUACGUAUAAAAGUCAUGUUUACAUUGUACUGUAGUCUUAUAGCAUUAUGUCUUAAAAAUAUACGUAGCUCAAUUAAAGAUAUUUUAUUGAUAAAAAUUGCUAAUCAUCAUCUGAGCCUUUAGCAAAUUGUAAUCAAUUUGCUGAUGGAAGGCCUUGCCUCAUUGUUGAUGGCUGCUGACUAAUCAGUGUGGUUGCUGAGGGUUGGGGUGAAUGUGGCAGUUUCUUCAAAUAAGAUGAUGAUGUUUGCCUUAUUGAUUGGUUAUUCCUUUCACAGAAGAUUUCUUAGUUGCGUGCAAUACUAUUUGAUAGCAUUUUGCCCACAGUAGAACUUAUUUCCUCCUUAAAAAAAAAA